rnacentral:rRNA from 1 species
UACGGAGGGUGCAAGCGUUGUCCGGAAUCACUGGGCGUAAAGAGCUCGUAGGCGGUCUGUCGCGUCGGCUGUGAAAACCCGGAGCUCAACUCCGGGCCUGCAGUCGAUACGGGCAGACUGGAGUUCGGCAGGGGAGACUGGAAUUCCUGGUGUAGCGGUGAAAUGCGCAGAUAUCAGGAGGAACACCGGUGGCGAAGGCGGGUCUCUGGGCCGAUACUGACGCUGAGGAGCGAAAGCGUGGGGAGCGAACAGG